UUCAUGUGACGAUUCGCAAGAGAAAGGCGGUACUGUUGCAAUUUUACGUACCAUUUAACGAUGGCGAAGAGUGCGAGGCUUAGCAUUGUGCUACUUGUUGCCAUGCUUAUGUUUCUUCUUCCAACAUUUGAAAAAAAGGGGUCGGAGUCUCAUUUUGGUAGGAUUUCCCUCGGUCGAAAGUGUGGUAAGGCCAGCACUCGUAAGACAAAAUGCUAUCCCUUUUGACCCUACAGUGCGCAAAGAUGCACAUGCAAGACAUCGGACACGUCAUCAUGGUGGACCUGGCGGGCUUCCUAGCCAAGGGGUUCGCAGAAGGCCUGCAGGCUCGCCAAUUCGUUCUCCCUCUGGAAGCCCUACCGGAAAGCAUUUCAGGGUUUAAAACCUGGUGUUCACCUUGCAUCCCAGGGCACCACAACACUUGUUAAUAAAGAGAGUUUCCAGGCAACC
rnacentral:lncRNA from 1 species